GUGAAUAACAGGACGUUCAAUUUAACUUGAAGUCCGAACUCUCACAUCUAACCCUGUGCAUUUGUUUUGGCUAGUAGAGCGCUUGCGUUCGAACACCUCUUCAUUUUACAAACACUAAGUCAAAGUAUGUUUAAAUUUUAUAACAAAACA
rnacentral:misc_RNA from 1 species